AGGGCAGGCUGAGCGCGCCCACGUCCCCCUUGUCCAGCUACGAGCAAAGAGAGAGAAGGGCGACGUUCAGCAGUGGGAGAGAUGGGCACCCGCGUUUCUGGGCUGCUGGGCACCCAGCAUCAGCCAGGGCAAAAGGAGCCGGGAGCUAGAACUGGAACCCAUCAUCAAAUCUCCCACCAAACCAGCAGUGAGAGCAGGGAUUGAGCAACUCAGAGCCUACGAGGAGGUGCAGCGGAUGAGCUAACGCCGUGGCUCCUGCUGCGCUGACCCCGAGCGAGGACUUUCACUGGGAAGUGUGACCGUGGUUCCCAGCUGAAAUCCAACACGGGGCCAAAACUGCCGUGGAAGGACCAGAUGCACCUUCAGGCAUGGGAAAAAGAAGUACCACCGAGCUGUCGAGGGAUGCUGGCAUGCAGGGCAGACCCGAGGAGCUGAUGCACUGAUCUGGCAGUUCUGCAGCGUGGGUGUCACCGUGCCCCGGGCCCUUGGCUGUGGAAAGCCACGAGGGAGAGGCCACAGCCAGCAGAGGAAUACAAGCGGGCAGUGGAUGUGGAGAGGUUGAUUUUGGGGCAGUCAUUAAAUGCAGGUGUUUCUGUGGCCCCUCUUCC